UAAGAUGUUUGGUAAAAAAUGUCAAAGGUGCCAAAAAAACCAAGUGGAUCAAAUACUCGCGCCACAGAUGACAAAAUUGUCCAUUUUGUACAGGGACGGUCUAAAGAUUCAACUGUAUACGAAAACGAAUCACAACCUGGGUUCCAUUUUAGACCUAGAAUUUUUAUAAAAGAUAUUUCUUCGGCAUUGAAAAUAAGAGACUGCUGCUGUCCAUGUUCAGGAGGAAUAUUUUCAAGAAGUGAAGGAUGAUUGGCAGAACAUUUGCGAAGUUCAAAACCUCCACUUUGCAUGAGUGCAAUUAAUUCCGACUGAAGCUGCUUAGCUUCAUGCAAGUUUGGGAUACUAGAUACGAUAUCAUUUAUAUAAAGAUCAGAAGCUAAGGCUUCGGCUAAUUGCAUGACUGUUCUAAGAGCUAAAUAUGACGAAGAGGAAACUCCAAAAGUGACAACUUUAAGAGCAUAGGAUUUUAUUGGAUCGUUUGGGGUAAAACGCCAAAGAAUAGGUACGUUGGUAUUCUCGAUGCUCAGAUGCCACCAUAAUUUGACAGUACAUUUUCUUGACAUCUGCUGUGAACGUGUAAGGAUGCAAAUUCAGAAUAAUCGUAGAAAUAUCAUUUUGUAAUUUUGGGCCUGUUAAAAGAGUGUCAUUAAGGCUUAGCCCAGCCGCGUCCUUACAAGAUGCAUCGAACACCACUCGCACUUUGGUCGUAGUACUUUCUGGCUUGACUACACAAUGAUGUGGUAAGUAGUACGUAGAAGGACGGUCAGAAAACGGUACUUCUUCCAUGUAGCCAGAAUCAACAAAUUCUUUUAUGCUCUCUGAAUAUGAAUCGAAAAGAAGUUCAUCUUUUAGAAGUCGACGUUCCAGUGAACAGAAUCGUCUUAAUGCAAUCGAAUAGAUAUUUGAAAAGGAAGGUUUGCCAUUUUUGAAAGGUAAAAAACUUUAAAUCUACCUGAAGUAUCUCUCGAAUGAGUAUUUUGGAAGAUCGAUUCACAUAAAGUGUCUUCGGAUGAGUUGAUCUCGACAGAAGACUCUGAAAUAAUGAAAGAAGAACUGACUGAAUUAGGAUUUGUAGAAGGUUGCAGAUCUCCUGAGAGAAUACAACUGAAGCAAGUGUUGAGACAUGAAGGCCAUACACUAUCACCCACGAUACGUCCAUCUCGCAAAAUCAAGGGAUAAAAUCCCCCCACCAAGUAGUAAAUCUAUUGGUGCCGGAAUGUUGAAAUCAGGAUCUGCUAAGUUCAAAUUUGCAAUAUUCUGAAAAGUGUUUUUGAGAAUAAAUUUAGUGGGCAUCUUAGAACAUACUUUUGUCAUAACAAGAGCCUCGAAAUAGAAAAUAGGAUGGUUUUGAUUUUGUGGUCGAUUUUUACAUGAAACUAUUUCUGAACUUGGGGUUUCGAUUUGUCCUUCUCCAAAAAUGGUCCUAGAACUUGGCAUUUUUGAAAGGAAUAAGCGGCUUACAUAUUUUUGUCUAAUAAUAUUUAACUGAGAGCCAUUAUCGAUAAAAACCCUGAUUGGUUUAUAACAACUCCAGGCAUAAAGAAUAUCCAAUAUUGCACUGGAGAGAAGAGUUGUCGAAAUUUUAUUGAAGGUCGGAAGUGCCACCAUAUUACAUGGAGGAGUUUCCGCAAAACUCUCACAGGAAACAUGAAGCUAUGUGUGAUUUUUACCUUGAUGACCACACACCCUGCAAGAAUCUUGUGAUUUACAAUCGUGAGCUUUGUGUCCAUUAUGGAGGCAUUUCGUGCACCAAUUGUUUUGAACUACCAUUUGAAGUCGCUCAAUAGGCGUUUUAGAUAAGAAUGACGGACACUUGUUAAUCGAAUGAGGUUCCUUGCAAAUUGGACAUAAAGAUUUUGAAUUUUUAGACGUCUUUACAAGAAAAGUAUGUUGAUUGGAAUCAUUUCGUUUGGGUUUAUAAUUUGAAUGUUUCGAGAAGUUUGAAUUUCUUGAAGAAUUUGAAUUUUUUGAAAGGUUUGAAUUUUUUGAAAAGUUAGUGUCUUUCGGCAACAUUAACGAAACUGAUUCGAGAGCUACACAUUGUUUCUGCAAAAAAAAAGUUUCAAGUAGUAGUAGUAGUAGUAGUAGUUUAUUUGACCAGAUUAUGUAGUUUAUACAUUUAUGGCAAGUCACAGUAAAUUCACAGUCAUAUUAGUCAAAUCAAAAUUAAAAAAUAUAUAAAAAUAUAAUUAAAAGAACAAUUAACGUCUAGUAACAGAUUAUCAAUAUAUAGUAUAAGAUUUAAAAUUUAGACAUGAGCAAUAUAUUUUAAAAUACAAUAAAAGAUCAUGGUUAA